ACGGGUGAGUAACACGUAGGCAACCUGCCUGUAAGACUGGGAUAACUACCGGAAACGGUAGCUAAUACCGGAUAGCUGGUUUUCUCGCAUGAGAGAAUCAUGAAAGACGGAGCAAUCUGUCACAUAUGGAUGGGCCUGCGGCGCAUUAGCUAGUUGGUGAGGUAAUGGCUUACCAAGGCGACGAUGCGUAGCCGACCUGAGAGGGUGAACGGCCACACUGGGACUGAGACACGGCCCAGACUCCUACGGGAGGCAGCAGUAGGGAAUCUUCCGCAAUGGACGAAAGUCUGACGGAGCAACGCCGCGUGAGUGAUGAAGGUUUUCGGAUCGUAAAGCUUUGUUGCCAGGGAAGAACGUCUUGGAGAGUAACUGCUCUAAGAGUGACGGUACCUGAGAAGAAAGCCCCGGCUAACUACGUGCCAGCAGCCGCGGUAAUACGUAGGGGGCAAGCGUUGUCCGGAAUUAUUGGGCGUAAAGCGCGCGCAGGCGGCUAUGUAAGUCUGGUGUAUAACCUCGGGGCUCAACUCCGGGUCGCACUGGAAACUGUGUAGCUUGAGUACAGAAGAGGAGAGUGGAAUUU
rnacentral:rRNA from 1 species